CUGAGUGUAAAAACUCCCAAACCCAUUGUGAACAUACCAAAUGUUGCUUCGGCGGCCAUCGCCCCGGGCGCGUCACAGCGUGCCCCGGAACCAGGCGACCGCCGGGGGACCCUAAACUCUCGUUUUCUGUAUGGAUUAUCUGAGUGGAUUUACGAAUCAAAUCA
rnacentral:misc_RNA from 1 species